UUUGGCUGAGGAACAGGUGACAAGCUCACUCAUAUUAAAUGUAAUCAGUUAAGCAGCAAGUAUAAAUGAUGGUACUGAAUCUGUUCCCAUUUUGAUUGGGAGGAAGUUUAAAGCAGAAAGGCGUCUGAUUUCGAGGGAAGAGGAAAGAGUUGGUCCGCUGGUGGAGAAGGAGACCCGAAGCAGAAGAUGGACUUCACAAUCAUCCCAGCGUGGCUGGACCAACAAAAGCCAGGGAGGAGUUGCAGACAGAAAGAGGAACCAGCCCAGAAGAAGAGGUGUUCAGAUUAAAACAAUGAUGAAACAUGCAUUUUAAUAAAGGGACAUACAGUAAACCAAAGAAUAGGAGUUUGUGUUAGUUUGAUAAUUGAAAAACAACGGUCUGAAUGUACUCAAUACAACUAGUUGGUGCUACUGAAUGAAUAAAAUUAAAUACCAUGUC